GGACGAACGCUGGCGGCGUGCCUAAUACAUGCAAGUCGUACGCUUCUUUUUCCACCGGAGCUUGCUCCACCGGAAAAAGAAGAGUGGCGAACGGGUGAGUAACACGUGGGUAACCUGCCCAUCAGAAGGGGAUAACACUUGGAAACAGGUGCUAAUACCGUAUAACAAUCGAAACCGCAUGGUUUUGAUUUGAAAGGCGCUUUCGGGUGUCGCUGAUGGAUGGACCCGCGGUGCAUUAGCUAGUUGGUGAGGUAACGGCUCACCAAGGCCACGAUGCAUAGCCGACCUGAGAGGGUGAUCGGCCACAUUGGGACUGAGACACGGCCCAAACUCCUACGGGAGGCAGCAGUAGGGAAUCUUCGGCAAUGGACGAAAGUCUGACCGAGCAACGCCGCGUGAGUGAAGAAGGUUUUCGGAUCGUAAAACUCUGUUGUUAGAGAAGAACAAGGAUGAGAGUAACUGUUCAUCCCUUGACGGUAUCUAACCAGAAAGCCACGGCUAACUACGUGCCAGCAGCCGCGGUAAUACGUAGGUGGCAAGCGUUGUCCGGAUUUAUUGGGCGUAAAGCGAGCGCAGGCGGUUUCUUAAGUCUGAUGUGAAAGCCCCCGGCUCAACCGGGGAGGGUCAUUGGAAACUGGGAGACUUGAGUGCAGAAGAGGAGAGUGGAAUUCCAUGUGUAGCGGUGAAAUGCGUAGAUAUAUGGAGGAACACCAGUGGCGAAGGCGGCUCUCUGGUCUGUAACUGACGCUGAGGCUCGAAAGCGUGGGGAGCAAACAGGAUUAGAUACCCUGGUAGUCCACGCCGUAAACGAUGAGUGCUAAGUGUUGGAGGGUUUCCGCCCUUCAGUGCUGCAGCUAACGCAUUAAGCACUCCGCCUGGGGAGUACGACCGCAAGGUUGAAACUCAAAGGAAUUGACGGGGGCCCGCACAAGCGGUGGAGCAUGUGGUUUAAUUCGAAGCAACGCGAAGAACCUUACCAGGUCUUGACAUCCUUUGACCACUCUAGAGAUAGAGCUUCCCCUUCGGGGGCAAAGUGACAGGUGGUGCAUGGUUGUCGUCAGCUCGUGUCGUGAGAUGUUGGGUUAAGUCCCGCAACGAGCGCAACCCUUAUUGUUAGUUGCCAUCAUUUAGUUGGGCACUCUAGCAAGACUGCCGGUGACAAACCGGAGGAAGGUGGGGAUGACGUCAAAUCAUCAUGCCCCUUAUGACCUGGGCUACACACGUGCUACAAUGGGAAGUACAACGAGUCGCGAAGUCGCGAGGCUAAGCUAAUCUCUUAAAGCUUCUCUCAGUUCGGAUUGUAGGCUGCAACUCGCCUACAUGAAGCCGGAAUCGCUAGUAAUCGCGGAUCAGCACGCCGCGGUGAAUACGUUCCCGGGCCUUGUACACACCGCCCGUCACACCACGAGAGUUUGUAACACCCGAAGUCGGUGAGGUAACCUUUUGGAGCCAGCCGCCUAAGGUGGGAUAGAUGAUUGGGGUGAAG
rnacentral:rRNA from 1 species